AUUGAACGCUGGCGGAAUGCUCUACACAUGCAAGUCGAACGGCAGCACGGACUUCGGUCUGGUGGCGAGUGGCGAACGGGUGAGUAAUGUAUCGGAACGUGCCCAGACGUGGGGGAUAACGUAGUGAAAAUUACGCUAAUACCGCAUACGAUCUAUGGAUGAAAGCGGGGAUCGCAAGACCUCGCGCGAUUGGAGCGGCCGAUAUCAGAUUAGGUAGUUGGUGGGGUAAAGGCCCACCAAGCCAACGAUCUGUAGCUGGUCUGAGAGGACGACCAGCCACACUGGAACUGAGACACGGUCCAGACUCCUACGGGAGGCAGCAGUGGGGAAUUUUGGACAAUGGGCGAAAGCCUGAUCCAGCCAUUCCGCGUGCAGGAUGAAGGCCCUCGGGUUGUAAACUGCUUUUGUACAGAACGAAAAGGUUUCUACUAAUACUAGGAGCUCAUGACGGUACUGUAAGAAUAAGCACCGGCUAACUACGUGCCAGCCGCCGCCGUAA
rnacentral:rRNA from 1 species